UACGUAGGGGGCGAGCGUUGUCCGGAAUCAUUGGGCGUAAAGGGCGCGUAGGCGGGUAUAUAAGUCUGAUGUGAAAGUGCGGAGCUUAACUCCGUAAAGCAUUGGAAACUGUAUAUCUUGAGGACAGGAGAGGAAAGUGGAAUUCCACGUGUAGCGGUGAAAUGCGUAGAGAUGUGGAGGAACACCAGUGGCGAAGGCGACUUUCUGGACUGUAACUGACGCUGAUGCGCGAAAGCGUGGGGAGC
rnacentral:rRNA from 1 species